GAGCAGACUGGGAAUCUUUCUCAAUCAAGUGCAACUGUUUGGAGUUGGCAAGUGAGAAAUCAUGAUGCAGUUUAAAAAUCCCUUCAUCUAUAAUCUGACGUACUUCUGUGAACAUAUACACCAGUUUGGUUUGUGACCAGAAUCAUGGAAAGAUAUGACAUUCUUUCAAGACCAGAGAAGUUAUCGCAGCCCA